AACAGGUAAAUGUUUCAUUUUAAGGGUCUGCCAAAGGUGGGAAAGUCUCUCAAAAGGCAGUAACUUCAAGCUGUCGUGAAUAUAGUAUCUGCUGCAAGGAAAUAACAGUUGGCGAUGCAAUUUUAUUCUACUGAUUUAACAGCCCAUUCAGAGCGAGGGCUGUGAGACUACGACAAUCUGUCCCUAGUGUAAUGUCAAUGUCGGCUAUCACUUUGGCAGAAACAGCCAGCUCAGUGAAGACUAAGAGUCCCAUCUCCUGUUUUUUCAUCUGCUGGUGGCAUUCAAAGUGACCUUGCCUUGUAAAUAUUGAUUUCUGAUACUUAAACAUCUGUGAGUUUUUUCGAAGAGACGAACAACACUUGAUGAUUGACUCAAGAUUCAUUUGAUGCAAUCUGGUAGAAAGAUUACUCUGCUGAGAUGAACUCUUAAUUAAUGCACAGAGAGCCUGAAAGUCCCACCUCUCAACAGUGAUGAUUGACAUUCAAGGAUACAUAAAUUACACUAAUUGAGCUUUGCAUCAAUACAGUCUUUCCACAGCCAACUCAUCA